rnacentral:rRNA from 1 species
UGCUUCCAGACUUUAUUAUGGCUCAGGAUGAACGCUGGCGGCGUGCCUAAUACAUGCAAGUCGAACGAAUCUUCUUCGGAAGAUGAGUGGCGAACGGGUGAGUAAUACAUAGGUAACCUGCCCCUGUGCGGGGGAUAACAGGAGGAAACUCCUGCUAAUACCGCAUAGCCAUGAGCACCGCAUGGAGCUCAUGCCAAAUAUCCUUCAGGGGAUAGCGCAGGGAUGGACCUAUGGCGCAUUAGCUAGUUGGCGGGGCAACGGCCCACCAAGGCAACGAUGCGUAGCCGGCCUGAGAGGGCGGACGCCACAUUGGGACUGAGACACGGCCCAGACUCCUACGGGAGGCAGCAGUAGGGAAUUUUCGGCAAUGGGGGAAACCCUGACCGAGCAACGCCGCGUGAGCGAAGAAGGCCUUCGGGUCGUAAAGCUCUGUUGUAAAGGAAGAACGUCGCAUGCAGGAAAUGGUGUGCGAGUGACGGUACUUUACCAGAAAGCCACGGCUAACUACGUGCCAGCAGCCGCGGUAAUACGUAGGUGGCGAGCGUUAUCCGGAAUCAUUGGGCGUAAAGAGGGAGCAGGCGGCCGCAAGGGUCUGUGGUGAAAGACCGAAGCUAAACUUCGGUAAGCCAUGGAAACCGGGCGGCUAGAGUGCGGAAGAGGAUCGUGGAAUUCCAUGUGUAGCGGUGAAAUGCGUAGAUAUAUGGAGGAAAACCAGUGGCGAAGGCGACGGUCUGGGCCGCAACUGACGCUCAUUCCCGAAAGCGUGGGGAGCAAAUAGGAUUAGAUACCCUAGUAGUCCACGCCGUAAACGAUGGUCACUAAGUGUCGGGGGUCAAACCCCGGUGCUGCAGUCAACGCAAUAAGUGACCCGCCUGAGUAG